UCAGGCCUAACACAUGCAAGUCGAACGGGAAGGGUAGCAAUACCCCGAGAGUGGCGCACGGGUGAGUAACGCGUAUGCAACCUGCCUUUAACUGAGGGAUAGCCCAUAGAAAUGUGGAUUAAUACCUCAUAGUUCUAUUGAAUCGCAUGGUUUGAUAGAUAAAGCUCCGGCGGUUAAAGAUGGGCAUGCGUGACAUUAGCUAGUUGGUGAGGUAACGGCUCACCAAGGCAACGAUGUCUAGGGGUUCUGAGAGGAUGAUCCCCCACACUGGUAC
rnacentral:rRNA from 1 species